rnacentral:rRNA from 1 species
CCUGGCGGCGAGUGGCGGACGGGUGAGGAAUGCAUAGGAAUCUGCCCGGUUGUGGGGGAUAACGUAGGGAAACUUACGCUAAUACCGCAUACGACCUUCGGGUGAAAGUGGGGGACCUUCGGGCCUCACGCGAUCGGAUGAGCCUAUGCCCGAUUAGCUAGUUGGCGGGGUAAGAGCCCACCAAGGCGACGAUCGGUAGCUGGUCUGAGAGGAUGAUCAGCCACACUGGGACUGAGACACGGCCCAGACUCCUACGGGAGGCAGCAGUGGGGAAUAUUGGACAAUGGGCGCAAGCCUGAUCCAGCAAUGCCGCGUGUGUGAAGAAGGCCUUCGGGUUGUAAAGCACUUUUGUUCGGGAAGAAAUCCGUAUGGUUAAUACCCGUGCGGGAUGACGGUACCGAAAGAAUAAGCACCGGCUAACUUCGUGCCAGCAGCCGCGGUAAUACGAAGGGUGCAAGCGUUAAUCGGAAUUACUGGGCGUAAAGCGUGCGUAGGCGGUUUGUUAAGUCAGAUGUGAAAGCCCCGGGCUCAACCUGGGAACUGCAUUUGA